UACGUAGGUGGCAAGCGUUGUCCGGAUUUACUGGGCGUAAAGGGUGCGUAGGCGGAUAUUUAAGUGGGAUGUGAAAACCCCAAGCUUAACUUGGGGACGGCAUUCCAAACUGGAUAUCUAGAGUGCGGGAGAGGAAAGUGGAAUUCCUAGUGUAGCGGUGAAAUGCGUAGAGAUUAGGAAGAACCCCAGUGGCGAAGGCGACUUUCUGGACCGUAACUGACGCUGAGGCACGAAAGCGUGGGGAGCAAACAGG
rnacentral:rRNA from 1 species